rnacentral:tRNA from 1 species
GCAAUGGUGAUUCAGUGGUAGAAUUCUCACUUUCCAUGUAGAGACCCAGGUUCAAUUCCUGUCCGAUGUA